rnacentral:lncRNA from 1 species
AAAAGUCUAAUUUAUUCAGAGGAAAGGUCACUUGUUGCAGAUGCCCACAUGCAAACCCACCCUACAGCCAAAAGAAUUGUAGAGCGAUCUGCGGACAAGGAGGAAGUAAAUUCAUACAAAUUUGCAGCUUUUAAUCAGAGAAUGGUAGACUCCAUACACCAUAUCAACAAAUGUUACAAGUAUUAAUAUUUUGACCAAAUGCCAGCAUGCAAAAUAGACAGUAUUAAUGCAUUUUAAAACAAUUGCUAGACCCUAGAGUCCAGUGUACUUUACCAUAUUAUACUGUAGCUUUAAUUGACCUCUCCUCCCUUCCUACCCACACACACACCCUUUCCAUUAAACUACAGGAACUACUCAUCAUUUUCAGUGAUAGCCAGUACAUUCAUUGGGACUUGGCAAACCAGCUCCCAAAUCCUUCAGAUCCCUCUUUUUGGGACCACACAACCAAUCUGAACUACCACAGUUCUGAGAUGAAGAAAAGGUUGGCGGGGGGGGGGGAGCAGGACUUGAAAAAUUCACCUUUCAGAGUAAGUAUUCUUAGUACAUCUUAUGGAGAAGCUCAUUUCCCAAAGGCGAACUCUACUUCAAAACUUGCUCUUACAAGGAUCGUUCAGAACUCUGCCCAGACCCUCUCAUAGUCGAACCCACUGACAGGAGUAAGAAGAAUCAAGAAUUGAUCCUGUAAAUUGCAGCGCUUGUGGAAGAUGCUCUUCAGAAAGAAUCACAGUGACAGAUGCAGAAUCGGAUCUUCUACCUUUGCUUUAUCCCAGUGAAUCUGUAGACUCAGACUUCUAGCUUCAUCACUACUCAUUGGACAUUAAAGCAACUGGUAAUACUACCGCAUGUAUUGAAAAAGCCCCCUCCUCCAGACGGUUAAGAGCCUGCUUUACAUUAAAAUACAAUUUCUAAUCCUCUUGCAUUCUUUGCCUGCAGAGCUGCCUGCCUCCCUCAGCACUCCUCUGUCUGGAGGGCCUACAUCAGGAAAUGCCUUACAUGGGUAUAAUAAAUUCAGGAUUCAGAUUCCA